UGGGGAAUAUUGCACAAUGGGGGAAACCCUGAUGCAGCGACGCCGCGUGGGUGAAGAAGUAUUUCGGUAUGUAAAGCCCUAUCAGCAGGGAAGAAAAAUGACGGUACCUGAUCAAGAAGCCCUGGCUAACUACGUGCC
rnacentral:rRNA from 1 species